rnacentral:rRNA from 1 species
AUAGCAGUGAGUAUGUUAUUUAAUUUGAUAAUCCCCAAAAAUCUUACCACAUCUUGAAUAUUAUCUUUAAUGAUAUUACAGGCGUUACAUAGUUGUCUUCAGUUCGUGCUGUGAAGUUUAAGGUUAGUUCCGUAAACGAACGCAUUCCUGUAUAAAUAUAUUAAUAUUUAUAAUUCUUUAUUUAAAUGCAUAAAGAGAAUAGGUUUAAGACAAAUCAUUAUGACCCUAAUGUUGUGGGCUAUAGACGUACUAUAAAAUAAUAUAUAAAAUUUAAUUAAAUAGUGAUAUUUAAUGAUAAAUACAACUUAUUAAAAUAUGUUAUAUAUUAAUAUAUAAUUUUAGUAUGAAUUAUAUCCUGUAAUUCGGAUAUAUGAAACAAGAAUUGCUAGUAAUCUGUAAUUAAGUAUAUUACGGUGAAUAUUAUUAAUUGUUUCGCACUAAUUACUCGUCACGCGGUAAAUUAAAAUAAAUAACAAAAAUAAAUAUUAUAUUAUUAAUCUUUUAUUAUUUAAUAAUUGUUUUGAUUUUUUAAUUUUAUUUAGUUAUCUG